rnacentral:rRNA from 1 species
UGCCAGCCGCCGCGGUAAUACGAAGGGUGCUAGCGUUGUUCGGAAUUACUGGGCGUAAAGCGUACGUAGGCGGAUUAUUAAGUGAGGGGUGAAAUCCCAGGGCUCAACCCUGGAACUGCCUCUCAUACUGGUAGUCUUGAGGUCGAGAGAGGUGAGUGGAAUUCCGAGUGUAGAGGUGAAAUUCGUAGAUAUUCGGAGGAACACCAGUGGCGAAGGCGAUCUCUUGGUACAGUAUUGACGCUGAGGCGCGAAGGCGUGGGUAGCGAACAGGAUUAGAUA